rnacentral:misc_RNA from 1 species
GAAAGAUUUAUGAUACAUCAUUGUCUAAGAAAUUGAAAAGUUUUGUUUAAUUACUUAUUUAACCUUAUGCUAUGCAUCAUUUAUUUGAGGUUAUAAUAGUUAGGAGUGUGCAAAUAGUAAAUUUAGUUACGAGCCUAACCAAACUAAAAUGAAUUUUGUGAGAAAUCAAAUCGAAUCAAACUAGAAAGACCAAAUGAACUAAAACAAAAAAAAUCAGUUCGAUAAAUUGGUUCUGCUAAUA